GCCAACGUGACGGAAUUAGGUAGACGUACCGCCACAGCGGUCCUGCGAGCGUCGCUUGUGAGGUGCAGGUUCAACCCCUGCCGUUGGCA
rnacentral:tRNA from 1 species